rnacentral:rRNA from 1 species
AUUGAACGCUGGCGGCAUGCCUUACACAUGCAAGUCGAACGGUAACAGGUCUUCGGAUGCUGACGAGUGGCGAACGGGUGAGUAAUACAUCGGAACGUGCCCGAUCGUGGGGGAUAACGAAGCGAAAGCUUUGCUAAUACCGCAUACGAUCUACGGAUGAAAGCAGGGGACCGCAAGGCCUUGCGCGAACGGAGCGGCCGAUGGCAGAUUAGGUAGUUGGUGGGAUAAAAGCUUACCAAGCCGACGAUCUGUAGCUGGUCUGAGAGGACGGCCAGCCACACUGGGACUGAGACACGGCCCAGACUCCUACGGGAGGCAGCAGUGGGGAAUUUUGGACAAUGGGCGAAAGCCUGAUCCAGCCAUGCCGCGUGCAGGAUGAAGGCCUUCGGGUUGUAAACUGCUUUUGUACGGAACGAAAAGACUCUGGUUAAUACCUGGGGUCCAUGACGGUACCGUAAGAAUAAGCACCGGCUAACUACGU